rnacentral:rRNA from 1 species
UACGAAGGGGGCUGGCGUUGCUCGGAAUCACUGGGCGUAAAGGGUGCGUAGGCGGGUCUUUAAGUCAGGGGUGAAAUCCUGGAGCUCAACUCCAGAACUGCCUUUGAUACUGAAGAUCUUGAGUUCGGGAGAGGUGAGUGGAACUGCGAGUGUAGAGGUGAAAUUCGUAGAUAUUCGCAAGAACACCAGUGGCGAAGGCGGCUCACUGGCCCGAUACUGACGCUGAGGCACGAAAGCGUGGCGAGCAAACAGG